rnacentral:rRNA from 1 species
UACGGAGGGUGCGAGCGUUGUCCGGAAUCAUUGGGCGUAAAGGGCGCGUAGGUGGCGGGACAAGCGUGCGGUGAAAGCUCGGGGCUCAACCCCGAGUCGGCCGUGCGAACUGUUUUUGCUGGAGCACUGUAGAGGCAGGCGGAAUUCCGGUGUAGCGGUGAAAUGCGUAGAUAUCGGAAGGAACACCUGUGGCGAAAGCGGCUCACUGGACCAUUACUGACGCUGAUGCACGAAAGCUAGGGGAGCAAACAGG